UACGGAGGGUGCGAGCGUUAAUCGGAAUUACUGGGCGUAAAGCGCACGUAGGCGGCUUGUUAAGCAAGAUGUGAAAGCCCAGGGCUCAACCUUGGAAUUGCAUUUUGAACUGGCAAGCUAGAGUUUUGAAGAGGGUGGUAGAAUUUCCAGUGUAGCGGUGAAAUGCGUAGAUAUUGGAAGGAAUACCAGUGGCGAAGGCGGCCACCUGGUCAAAAACUGACGCUGAGGAGCGAAAGCGUGGGGAG
rnacentral:rRNA from 1 species